rnacentral:piRNA from 1 species
UGGUGUACAUGCAUCUGUUUGAGUCCUUGC